GGUGCCUCUAGCUCUGUCAGUCGGGUAGGGCUCUAACUCGCGACGCCCUUGCCUCGAUCCUGAUCCACGGAAGGCGCAGCAGCCGAAACCUGUGGCUCUGCAAAAACAGGGGUAACAACUGGGCGUGAGAACUACUGUAAAAACAAGUAGUCCUCAGUGGGUACCGCCCAAAACAAUAUCGGUUCACCCACUAAGUCUACAAAAGGGAGCAAGAGUAGUAAAAAAAAAGCAGGAAAAUACUCUACCGCUACCGAUCACUACACUAUCAUACUCUACACUAACCAACUGUAGGAAAUGUCAACUCUGACCCAAUCCAAUCGGGACUGUAAGCAUACCCGUCCCCGGGACUGUGAAUACACCCGUCCCUGCCCCGUUGCGACCAUCAGGCUCUAUCCACACUAACUGGUCCAUGGAGAGCAAGUCCAACUGGCAUGAGCGACACCAACGCGAAAGCACAAAGCCUGACUCCGGAGUGGCACUCGUGGGCGCUACCCAACCGAGUAUGCAGCGUAUCUCUGUCGAGCUCAAACAGGCUCUGAAAAGCCAAAGUCAAGAAAUCGACUCUAACUGGUCUAACAACCAACAAGUAACGUGCCCUCGGCACAAUCAGACGCCAAAAAGGCGAUACGGGUCUACCGUCAACCUUAACGGCACCCUACAGUCCGGAACAACUUGAACGACCCUGUAAAAUUUCCUCGGCGAACCAGCACGAGUGUAGAUAUAUUCUAAACUACCUGGAGUACUCGUCUCGAAGAUACUGCAACAGUACA
rnacentral:lncRNA from 1 species